UACAGAGGUCUCAAGCGUUGUUCGGAUUCAUUGGGCGUAAAGGGCGCGUAGGCGGCGGGGUAAGUCGGGUGUGAAAUCUCAGAGCUCAACUCUGAAACUGCACUCGAUACUGCUCUGCUUGAGGACUGGAGAGGAGACUGGAAUUCACGGUGUAGCAGUGAAAUGCGUAGAUAUCGUGAGGAAGACCAGUGGUGAAGGCGGGUCUCUGGACAGUUCCUGACGCUGAGGCGCGAAGGCCAGGGGAGCAAACGGG
rnacentral:rRNA from 1 species